GGAGGCAGCAGUGGGGAAUUUUGGACAAUGGGGGCAACCCUGAUCCAGCAAUGCCGCGUGUGUGAAGAAGGCCUUCGGGUUGUAAAGCACUUUUGUCCGGAAAGAAAGCUUCGGAGCUAAUACCUCUGGGGGAUGACGGUACCGGAAGAAUAAGCACCGGCUAACUACGUGCCAGCAGCCGCGGUAAUACGUAGGGUGCGAGCGUUAAUCGGAAUUACUGGGCGUAAAGCGUGCGCAGGCGGUGCUGUAAGACCGAUGUGAAAUCCCCGGGCUUAACCUGGGAACUGCAUUGGUGACUGCAGCGCUGGAGUAUGGCAGAGGGGGGUGGAAUUCCACGUGUAGCAGUGAAAUGCGUAGAGAUGUGGAGGAACACCGAUGGCGAAGGCAGCCCCCUGGGCCAAUACUGACGCUCAUGCACGAAAGCGUGGGGAGCAAACAGGAUUAGAUACCCUGGUAGUCCACGCCCUAAACGAUGUCAACUGGUUGUCGGGCCUUCAUUGGCUUGGUAACGUAGCUAACGCGUGAAGUUGACCGCCUGGGGAGUACGGUCGCAAGAUUAAAACUCAAAGGAAUUGACGGGGACCCGCACAAGCGGUGGAUGAUGUGGAUUAAUUCGAUGCAACGCGAAAAACCUUACCUACCCU
rnacentral:rRNA from 1 species